rnacentral:rRNA from 1 species
UACGUAGGGUGCGAGCGUUGUCCGGAAUUAUUGGGCGUAAAGAGCUUGUAGGCGGUUUGUCGCGUCUGCUGUGAAAACUCGAGGCUUAACCUCGAGCUUGCAGUGGGUACGGGCAGACUAGAGUGUGGUAGGGGAGACUGGAAUUCCUGGUGUAGCGGUGAAAUGCGCAGAUAUCAGGAGGAACACCGGUGGCGAAGGCGGAUCUCUGGGCCGAUACUGACGCUGAGGAGCGAAAGCGUGGGGAGCGAACAGG